AUGUCGUUUGGUUUGUUUGUCUUGUUCUUUUUUUCAUUCGGUGAUAAUUCAAUAACGUUCAGUCUUCUUGAGAAAAACGUGUUCUGUCCCGAAACAUUCAAUCGUCUGCUUGAGAAAAGAACAUUGAUUGAGGAAACAUUUUCUAUCACAAAACAUUCAAUCUUCUGCUUAAGAAAACAACCUUGAUUGAGGAAACAUUUUCUAUGCUCUUUUUCUCAUUCAUGAUUAUUUCAAGAACAUUCAAAUAUUUCAAAAUGAUUUUUAAAUUGAGUUUUGAUUUUAGAAUUUUCAUUCUAACAAAUUUAUCUGUCUGGUUUUUUUUAUAUACCUAUUAGGAAAAUAUCGGGCUACCCAUUUUAUCGUUCUUGAUAUAUUCAAGUCCUUAAAUCUUCUGCUUCAAAAACCAGAGAACCAUCCAUUUUGUAAAUCAAAAUUUAACAGGUUAUACAAAACCUGAAAGACCGAAUCAUUGCAAGAUGAAAUCUGUUUUCAUAAAAAGGGGUAUAUGUCCCAAAAGCAGAAAGCAGUGGAUAUACUUUGUUCUAUAGAUUUUGUAAGUGAUGGAUGCCUCAAUGACCCUAGAGGGGAAAUGCAUUAUGAUCUCCUUAUUCAUAAUGUUAGGAAUACAAGUUUGGUUUGAUAAGUGAAAUGAAAUCUGAAUGUCUUGAUGACCCAAAAAUAUGAUGGAUGAUGCCUUAAAAAUGCAAGCUAAUUGAUAUACAAUUUUUAUAUGUUUUUAUUCAAAAUGUAAAACAUGGAUGGAUAGUUUGAUAUAUUUUGUCUUGACGACCCUAGCAUCUUGGCAACAGUCAACUUUUUCUUACUGUUGUGUUUGGGUUGUCUCUAUGCUAGCUCUUACCACUUAUGACAUAGUUAUAUUCCUGGUGUUAUGUAUCUACUUGGUUAAAGCACGAGAGUUGAACUGUAAGUAUCUACUUAUAAAUGUGUUCACUACUUAAUGCUAACUUUUUUAACCAGAGGUUAGAUAUGAGGGAUUAGCCUACCUGUUAUUGUUGGACUGUGUUGCUUGGUAUUUGGACAAUAUCAGAUAUUCUCAGUGGAAUCAUAAAAUGAGUUGUGUUUGUUAUUGAGUGGAAGGGUUAAGUGCCAUGGAGUGUAAAAUUAUUGGGAUUUGUGCUAUCUCUCAAAUUUAAUUAAGACAGAAGUGUAUACAAAAUUGUUUGCGAAGGUUGAAUAUGAGAAUGUGACUGUACUAUGUUUUAGUAUAAUUCAAUGUUCCCUUUUGGUUAUUAGUAGGCACGAGGAUAGAUUCAAAUCUAAUGAAACUGUAUUUUGUAAAAGUAGUUCCAUCCCUAGUAAAUUUUUUUUUUACAAAUGGAUACACCAGCUUGCUUAAUAUUCUCUAAUAAAUUAAAUAAUGGUAUGAUCUGCAAUCUGUUGUUUGUAGCUUACUUCAGCUUGAUGAGAUAAAAUUCUCUGGUGAUCAGUAAUUCAAGGUUUUAUUUAUUUAUUUAUUUUUUUUAUUAUAAUUGUUUGUGUUGGUUUUAUGAGCUGAGACAUGGUUGCAUUAGUUUCACAUAAUAGCAUAUCCUUAUAUAUAGAGGAGCUUUGUUCAACAGAGCACGCUAGGGAUAGAAACUAAGGAACAAUAAAAGGUGCCGAGUUUUUUUCUCGAAAGAAUCACAACUAUCAAGGUUGAUUUGUUUACCAUGCACACUUUUUAGGCCAGGAGUAAAUGUGUGAAAAAGUUUUUUUUCAAUAUCAGCUAUAACUGCAAGUGCGGUUCUGAAUGGAGUAAAAGCAAGCAAUAAAGUGAUCAUUCUAUAUUUUUUAUUCUGGUCUUAUAUUGCAAUUUUAGUGUGUAAAUAUUGCUCUAUUAUCUUAUUUUAGAAGUCAAGAUAUUCAAGACUCAGUUAUGAUAAAAUACAAGAUGAUUUUUUCAUGAACUCUUUGAAAAAAAUAGUAAGUAUACACCUCCAUCUUAAAUUUGAGAGGAAUUCUCAAAAUUUUAAGUUAAGUAUGCACCUCUAUCUUAUAUUUGUCUGAUGCCAUCUCUCAAAUUGAAGAUUAAUAGCUAAGGUAAGUUUUCAGUUGUACAAGUUGAUUUGGCCUAAUGCAACCAUUGUGUGUACUAAGUUGUAAUGAUUGUAUCAUACAUGUGAAAUCUUAUAAAAUACAAAAUGAUUUAAUCAAUUGAAGAAUAUAACGACAUACUUUGAUAUGCGUAAAACGUAGCUGACCUCGCCUAACCAAAGAAAACCUUUUGUUGUUGUUGAAGUCUAUGGUAGAGUUUGUAUCAUACAUUCCAUUUUGAACUCUUAAUUUUAUUAGAAGAAUUGUGUUCUAAUUUAUUUGUUGUUUUCAAAUUUCAAUGCCAAUUAACUAUUAUUUUGUCAAUUAUACUCUUCUCUACUUAUUGCAAAAAGAGAAGUAUGUGCAAUAUGAUAAUGAACAGUCAAGGGUAUCAUAGAAAAAAGACAAUUAAUUUCAUCAAAAAACAACAAAAUUUGUUGACUUUCUUGUUUUGUGUAAAACAACUUUAAACAACACUUAAAAAGGCUCCGAGAUAGUAACCUUUUUGCUAGUGCGAGCUUCAAAGUUAAAAUAAGUUGCGUUUCUUCACUUACGAAAAGGUUCGUAUAAACUUGUAGAUGUUUAUGGAGAAGUUGAAUGAGUCAAAAACUUUGAGAUGAUUUCAACUUACGCGAAAAGUUAGGGUUCUUUUAAUAUAUAUGUUUCUACAAGUGCUUCUUGAGAAUUAGCUAAAUUGGUUUUAUGUCAUGGAUAGUCAUAACUGUUGAUCUUAUGCAGAUACUAUGGAAUCAAUCUGUGUCUGAGUUAUAUUGUUACUAAUAAUAUGUUUUGACAACUUGAGCAAAAUUUAUCUUUGUCUUCAUUAUUUAAAAAUAAGAACAUAACAUUUUCCUAUUGUAUGUGGCUGUUGAACUUAAUUGCAAUUAUUUGGAGUUAUUUUAGUGUUUUUUUCCAGCAAAAGGUAACUUGCCGCACACAGCUCAAUGGAAUUCAGCAUUACUGGAUAUAGAAGUUGGGUUCAUUUCCAUCACUUCCCCCUUUCUUUGACUAAAGUAAUGUGCUUAGGCAACUGAGACAUCUUCCUUGUCACAUAAAUUUGCAAAAGCGACCCUAUGGUUAAUUGAUUUGUGGUGCUUAAAGGGAUUGACUUAAAGCUUAUCAUCCGGAAUGCGUGAAUAAAGACAAUACCUUUUUGAAGAAUGACUGUAAUUGGUGUUGUGAAAAGCAUCAAAGUUCAUGUGCUUUUGCUGCCCAGCUGCUGUUUGUGGAAAAUGCUUCUUUGAUGGUGAAUUUGCUACUGUCAAAAGUAACAAAGGAUUUUGCAGGCACUGCGCAAAACUUGCAUCUCUACUUGAAAAAAAAGCUGAUGUUGAUUCUGAUGGGGUUGUAUGUAUACACUUUCUCUUUCGCUCUA